rnacentral:rRNA from 1 species
GGNGAGCAAUACCCAGGAANCNGCCNANCAANGGGGGACAACANCUCGAAAGGGAUGCCAAUACCGCAUACGCCCCACGGGGGAAAGCAGGGGAUCACNAGUGACCNCGCGACAANAGAUGAGCCNAAGACGGAUCANCCAGNCGGNGGGGCAAAGGCCUACCAAGGCGACNAUCUGUAGCGGGUCUGAGAGGAUGAUCCGCCACACUGGGACUGAGACACGGCCCANACUCCUACGGGAGGCAGCANNGGGGAAUAUUGGACAAUGGGGGGAACCCUGAUCCAGCCAUGCCGCGUGUGUGAAGAAGGCCUUAUGGUUGUAAAGCACUNUAAGCGAGGAGGAGGCUCUUCUAGUUAAUACCUAGGAUGAGUGGACNNNACUCGCAGAAUAAGCACCGGCUAACUCUGUGCCAGCAGCCGCGGUAAUACAGAGGGUGCGAGCGUUAAUCGGAUUUACUGGGCGUAAAGCGUGCGUAGGCGGCUUUUUAAGUCGGAUGUGAAAUCCCCGAGCUUAACUUGGGAAUUGCAUUCGAUACUGGGAAGCUAGAGUAUGGGAGAGGAUGGUAGAAUUCCAGGUGUAGCGGUGAAAUGCGUAGAGAUCUGGAGGAAUACCGAUGGCGAAGGCAGCCAUCUGGCCUAAUACUGACGCUGANGUACNAAAGCAUGGGGAGCAAACAGGAUUANAUACCCUGGUAGUCCAUGCC